UGUUGACACUGAAGCUGGCGGCAGCCAUGUUGGAUGUGGGCACUGACAUUUCCAGGCGGGGGGCUGCCCGCCAUCUUGGUUUAGGGCAUGAAGACGGAUUCGACCCUAGUGACGCUCGAAGUUUGAAGGGCCGUUGGGGAGUCGGACACGAUGUUUUCCAAGGAGCCUGUUGGCUGCGACGGGUUAGGGCAGGCCCCGACUGCCUCGGAGGCCGUGAUCGGCCAUCUUGGCAGCUGUCACUAGAGCCCCUGGCUGGUUUCAUUGAUCGAUUCGGUGUGAGUAGGUCGGUUCUGCUCAGGUGCCUGAUGAGAAAGGAAGAUCGAAGCCUUCAUUGCUGAACUUUUCCAUCCUCUGUUGGAAGGAGGAAGGGACCAGCAUAGCAUUCAGGAACCUCUGUUCUGAGGAGAUGACUGCAUUGUUCAGCUAUAUUUGAGCGCAGCAUCCAGGAUCCAGCACAUCAGAAAAGUAACUGCUUUACCUCCGCCAUUCUCAGAGCUGUGGCAGUGACUUCUGGAAGUGCAGCAGCUCUUGAAGAGGUCCAGAAUGCACAGCAUGUAGACUUUUGCUUCUGUGGCAAUAGACACACACCUUCCAUCCUGGUCUGAUUUGAUGAGAUUGAGGUGAAACCCCGCUGCAGCUGCCAUGCCAACACUUAAACUCUGUGUACUGCAAGCCACCAUCACGUCAGAGAAGAUGCACCAGGCACAAGACCAUGAGUACAUCGGAUCCAAAGAGAGUAAGCUGGGAGUAUAAAGCAGAAUGGAACCAAAUUCAUCCACUGCAGUUGACGGUUACACUAGGGUCUGAAUUUGGCAUUUAACCACCUUCACCAUGUUCCUGUGAUACAGCUUUUAAAUAUUUUAUAGGAUUUGGAUCUGUUGUGAUUUUUUUUUUUUUUUUUU